CCUACGGGAGGCAGCAGUAAGGAAUAUUGGUCAAUGGACGCAAGUCUGAACCAGCCAUGCCGCGUGAAGGAUGAAUGCCCUCUGGGUUGUAAACUUCUUUUAUAGGGGACGAAAAAGGGUCUUUUUAGAUCAACUGACGGUACCCUAGGAAUAAGCACCGGCUAACUCCGUGCCAGCAGCCGCGGUAAUACGGAGGGUGCAAGCGUUAUCCGGAUUUACUGGGUUUAAAGGGUGCGUAGGUGGGUUGGUAAGUCAGCGGUGAAAUCUUCGAGCUUAACUCGGAAACUGCCAUUGAUACUAUCAGCCUUGAAUAUCCUGGAGGUGAGCGGAAUAUGUCAUGUAGCGGUGAAAUGCUUAGAUAUGACAUAGAACACCAAUUGCGAAGGCAGCUCACUACGGGAUUAUUGACACUGAGGCACGAAAGCGUGGGGAUCAAACAGGAUUAGAUACCCUGGUAGUCCACGCCCUAAACGAUGGAUACUCGACAUUUGCGAUAUACAGUAAGUGUCUGAGCGAAAGCAUUAAGUAUCCCACCUGGAAGUACGAUCGCAGAUUGAAACCUNAAUGAUAGAGNGNGAGAGNGCGAGGACGACGACGAGGGAGGAGG
rnacentral:rRNA from 1 species